rnacentral:rRNA from 1 species
UCAUCCAUUCCGCGUGAGUGAAGAAGGCCUUCGGGUUGUAAAGCUCUUUCGGCAGGAACGAAACGGUGGGGGUUAAUAUCUCUUGCUAAUGACGGUACCUGAAGAAGAAGCACCGGCUAACUACGUGCCAGCAGCCGCGGUAAUACGUAGGGUGCGAGCGUUAAUCGGAAUUACUGGGCGUAAAGCGUGCGCAGGCGGUUUCGUAAGACAGAUGUGAAAUCCCCGGGCUUAACCUGGGAACUGCGUUUGUGACUGCGAGACUUGAGUGUGGCAGAGGGGGGUGGAAUUCCACGUGUAGCAGUGAAAUGCGUAGAGAUGUGGAGGAACACCGAUGGCGAAGGCAGCCCCCUGGGUUAACACUGACGCUCAUGCACGAAAGCGUGGGGAGCAAACAGGAUUAGAUACCCUGGUAGUCCACGCCCUAAACGAUGCGAACUAGGUGUUGGAGAAGGAGACUUCUUUAGUACCGUAGCUAACGCGUGAAGUUCGCCGCCUGGGGAGUACGGUCGCAAGAUUAAAACUCAAAGGAAUUGACGGGGACCCUCACAAGCGGUGGAUGAUGUGGAUUAAUUCGAUGCAACGCGAAAAANCUUACCUACCCUUGACAUGCCAGGAACCCUGCUGAGAGGUGGGGGUGCUCGAAAGAGAACUGGAC